CUCAGUUCGGAUCGGAGUCUGCAACCCGACUCCGUGAAGCUGGAUUCGCUAGUAAUCGCGCAUCAGCCAUGGCGCGGUGAAUACGUUCCCGGGCCUUGUACACACCGCCCGUCAAGCCAUGGGAGCCGGGAGUGCCUGAAGUCCGUGACCGCGAGGAGCGGCCUAGGGUAAGACCGGUGACUGGGGCUAAGUCGUAACAAGGUAUC
rnacentral:rRNA from 1 species